rnacentral:tRNA from 1 species
CGGAGCGUAACGCAGGGGUAGCGUGCAUGCUUUGGGAGCAUGAGGUCGGAGGUUCAAAUCCUCUCGCUCCGACCA